rnacentral:lncRNA from 1 species
UGUCGCCAGAUGAUUCGCUCUAGAAAUGUAUUUAAAAGUGCUUUUAAAAAUAAAUAUGAUAAACAAAAAUUACAACCAAUGAUAGCUACUAAAUCAUAAAAUAAGCAAGCACAUUUUUGUAAAGCAACUAAUAUUUUAUAUAAGAAAACAGAAAGAGAAAAGUUAAAUUCAUUUAACAUUUUUACUAAUUUAAAAUCUGUCAGAAAGUAAACUUCUUCUUCUUUCUCCUGUUUCUUCAUAUGAUGGUGAUGUUUCUGUUGGUGGAGACUGCAGUACUCCGGCGGUGAUGGUGGUGGUAGUUGCUGCAAUGUUAGUAGCUUCCUCUAGCAUUGUGACAAAUAUAUAACGAAUGUUACUUAAGUUAUUUAAAAUCAGAAGCAAUAUUACAUGUAAUGCUUUAAAAUAUGUUACAUGUCAAAAAUUCAAUUUUUAAUGCAAUAAUGCACAUUCUGUGUAAUUCCUUUUUAAACAAAAAGAGAGGGAAAAAAAACUUCAAAAAAAAAGUUUCAAACAUUUUCAGAGUAUACCCAAGGCAUGUUAAAAUUAUAACAUAUCAUUAACAAAAAUAUUUAUGUUGCAUAAAAUUAGCCUUAUUUUAAUAAGGUGUAAUACGGCUUAGUGUAUUCAAUGAACAUGUAUCCAAUUUAAAUUGUUUCCAACAUGGUUUAAACUUUUCCAUAUGAAAGUUUUGAAUUUGGAACUAAAUUUUUAGCUCCUUCCCAUUACGGUAUAAACUAUGCACAAAUAAAUGUUCAAUAUUGCACAUGAAAAACCACUUUGAAAGGUCACCAUAAAAUGACUCCAAAAAAGUCACCAAGAAGGAAAAUAAAUACAAUUGAUCCCAAGUUUUCAUUAUUAGAACCAAAAUUCUUGUACAGAUACACGCAUGAUCAAAAACAGAGAAAAGACAGAGAAUAAAAAAUUGAAGAAAUUCUUGCAAAUUAUGAAAAAUAAUAACUAAAAAAAAUUAAGGAGUGACAAAAUUGAAGAAAUGAAAUGCUUUGAGAAUGAUAAGAACUAACCAGCUGAAACAGAAGAUGACUCAAUUCCUCGAUGAACCCUUGGAAAUUGUUGUCCCAAAAAUUGAGUCAUGCUACUUUCUUCAUUUCGUGUCCUGCCCACGAGCCCGGUUUGGAAGAAGAGUAACCAGAAGACGGCGAAUUUGGAGUAUAAAUCCCAGAACCACCGCCACUUCCACCACCAAACGACACCAUGGCUCCGCCACUCAAUUCAGGACUAUAAUAAGUUAAAUCGCCGGGCCUCUGGCCGGAGACAACAUGAGUCAGCACCGUCACCAUAGCAGACAUCUCACUCGAAUGACUUUACCCCGUAUACAUGGGUACCGCCUCAGGUGGUGGCUGUGUUCUUCCUAGUCUGCCUUCCUCAGUGGUAUCUUCCGCCAGAAAUCUGAUCGAAGGUUGUAAGAAUCAGUUUCCUUUCCUCUAUUGGGUCUGAUCUGAGAAUUUGUUCUUGAAUGCUUCAGGAUGUUCAUCCUUUGAGUCAGCAU